rnacentral:lncRNA from 1 species
UCAACCGAUCCCCACUGGCAUGCCUGCUGCACCACAGCCUGCUGGUAGAACUGGUACAAAGGCUCUUCCUCCAACAGCCGGCCGUCACUGUCAUCCACAACAGCACAGGAAUACCGUGAUUGUUCUCCACACAGCUCUGCAAUACACGCACCUGGGCUCAGCACAGGGGGUCUCUGGUGGUAGGGAAGAGGAGGAGCCUGCAAGGCAUCACGCUGGCUGUCACAUCGACGGUGAAAGCACCACAUGUGCUGCUUGUUACAGGCAUCAACAAAAACAGUCCUAGAGUAACCCUUCUGGCCUUGGCAAGAAAAAAGAAGAGCAUCGCGUGGCUCGAGGCACACAAGCCAGGAAGUCCUUCACCGCUGCGCUUAUCUGCUCUAUUACGGCCAGGGAUGAUGGGUACCUAAGAGCUGCGCUCUAAAAAAAUUCCAUUUGCAGUAAAUGCAUCUGUAGCCAAGCUCCAAGUUCAUUCUACUCGCAAGAAUCUCGCUUGUCAGCAACAUCUGUUUCCAGAAUGAUCCCAAUCGCUUGCACUUAGAGCUCAUGACGAUUACUGCUGUCGCCUCCAUGGCUACGCAUGCUUGUUACUUGAGAUGCGGCUGUAACAAGAACAGUGUAUCGGGUGCUGGUGUUCCCUCUCCCUCUCCGAAGGCGAGGAGAGCAUUGAGCAUGCUGUUCUUUGUCGAGUGCAUGCAGUUGGGACCAUGUGUUCGCAAAGCCAUAUGCAAGUCAACCACGUUACCACGGGCGCCAGCAGAAGCAUCAGUUUAUUGCUUCGGUCUUCCUCCGCGGUUGCAGUGAAGCCUCAUUACAUUGAAGCAGGGGAUAAGCACUCUUCGUCUUAUUGAGGUUAAAAAUACGUGGUGUUGUAUAGACAUUAAGUUAUAAAGACUGAAAUGCUUCACUGCAUCAAGAGUUUCGUAAUAUCGAGGUAUAACUGCAAUGAAUCUGUAAUCACAAGCCCAGUUCACCAUUAACAGGGUGUUUACUGCAUGUGUACUUUUUGUCUUCAUUUUUUUUCCCCACUGUAAUAUGACCAAGUAACCCAUUCAUGGCAUAUGGUCCUGUUAGGUCUGCACUUGAUUUGUUUCACUGCAAUAACAAUGAACCAACUUGCCUAAUUCACCAUUUAGAGCGUGUGGUCCUGCUGUGCCCACUGUUCUUGCUUUAUGGGCUGUAGUAAUAUAUGAAUCAAUAGCCAGAACUUAAUUCACCAUUGGCACUGUGUGGUCCCGUUGAGAUCUUCAUCAUCUGGCAAUGUAGUAACAAUCAAUCAACACCGCCAAGCCCAAUCCGCCAUGCACAGCAUGCAAUCCUGUUGUGUCUACUCAUUGUUUUUUGGACUGUAGUAAUAACGAGUGAAUACUACUGCUAUAUUUUUGUGUGUCUACUAUUUAUAUUCGUUCUUGCACUGUAGUAAUAAAUGCAUCAAUACCAACUGGCUGAAUUCAUCAAUCACAGUGUGUGGUCCUGUUGUGUCUG